AUUGAACGCUGGCGGCAUGCUUUACACAUGCAAGUCGAACGGCAGCGCGGGCUUCGGCCUGGCGGCGAGUGGCGAACGGGUGAGUAAUGCAUCGGAACGUGCCCAGUGGUGGGGGAUAGCCCGGCGAAAGCCGGAUUAAUACCGCAUACGACCUGAGGGUGAAAGCGGGGGACCGAAAGGCCUCGCGCUAUUGGAGCGGCCGAUGUCGGAUUAGCUAGUUGGUGGGGUAAAGGCUUACCAAGGCGACGAUCCGUAGCUGGUCUGAGAGGACGACCAGCCACACUGGGACUGAGACACGGCCCAGACUCCUACGGGAGGCAGCAGUGGGGAAUUUUGGACAAUGGGGGCAACCCUGAUCCAGCCAUGCCGCGUGCGAGAAGAAGGCCUUCGGGUUGUAAACCGCUUUUGUUCGGGAAGAAAUCCUCUGGGCUAAUACCCCGGGGGGAUGACGGUACCGGAAGAAUAAGCACCGGCUAACUACGUG
rnacentral:rRNA from 1 species